rnacentral:rRNA from 1 species
UCUUGGUCAUUUAGAGAAAGUAAAAGUCGUAACUCUUGGUCAUUUAGAGGAAGUAAAAGUCGUAACAAGGUCUCCGUUGGUGAACCAGCGGAGGGAUCAUUA